GCUGUACGAAGUUAUUACGGUAGAGGUGUGUGUGUGUGUGUGUGUGUGUGUGUGUGUGUUAGAGGUGUGUGUGUGUGUAUAUGAGUGUUUGUAUAUAUAUGUGUGUGUUGAGGUGUGUGUGUGUAUGUGAGUGUGUGUGUGUGUGUUAGAGGUGUGUGUGUGUAUAUGAGUGUUUGUAUAUAUAUGUGUGUGUUGAGGUGUGUGUGUAUGUAUAUAUGUGUGUGUGUGUGUGUGUGUGAGUGUGUGUAUAUAUAUAUAUGUGUGUGUGUGUGUGUGUGUGUGUGUGUUAUUAAUGUAAGUUAAUUUAAAAUAAAUAUAUGGAAAUCAACAUCAAGUUUUAUGAAAUGCCUCAAAAUGUAUUGUUCUUGUAUUGUAGAGACAAUAAAGUAUAAGACAUUACAAUUAAAAAGACUAGGUGAAGAAACGAGUUUCAUGAAGUGUGUGCGGAUGGUGCGGGGGCGGGGUUAGCGCCGAUGACGUCGCAGCGCAGGGGCGUGGCCGGCUCGCGGGAGUAUUAUGGUCCGGUUGCAGAGCGCGCGGCGAGAGAAGGAGCGAGUGGAGCAGCAGCAGCGAGAGCAAACGCAUCAUGACGCGUUAUCAUCCACAUCUAUUUCCCCAAUGGACAUUUUCCAAAACAUUUUCGUGACAACAUCUGGUAUUUACUCUUUAGAUGGCAUUCUCCCAGCGCGUGCUCCGUAGGUUCAUGUGAAUUGGACGUUGUGUGUAUGUUUGGGACCUUCGAUUAUGGACAGAUGAAAGGGACAUCAUCUGAAACCUGGCAGUGUUUGACAUCAGUGAGCUUUUCUGAACAUCAGUGAGCUUUUCUGAGCCACGUGUGCUAAUGUACAUUUUUAAACCUCAUUACUGACGGAUUAUUAUGCGUAAGCUGUGUGAUGGUGACCUGGAGACGUAUAGUCAGUUCACUGGGAUAUUUCUGACACCACAAUAUUGAUAUAUUAAACUCCAGUGUAAACUUCAGUCCCUAAACUGACUUUUUUGAAUCU
rnacentral:lncRNA from 1 species